AUGAAAAUGCAAGCAAUUGGAGGUCUUCAAAGGUUAUGUUGAUGACAAUCUUAUUUGGUUUUGGGCUCGGGUUGAGAUGUGAGCAUUAAAAUGUUAGAUGUUUUAGGCCUACUCUUUUAUUAAUUUAAGAGUUAGUUUUCUCUUUUGGUUAUCAAUUUAAUUUAUUUAUACUAUUUAUUUAUGUUGGUUUUAUCACUUAGAUUUUUUUUAAACGCAUUUCUUGUAGUAGUGACAUUCCCAGAAGACGAUGUUUCCGCCAUCGUCCUAUGCUUCUAUUAUUAUUAUUUCUUUCU